rnacentral:lncRNA from 1 species
UAUUUAUUUGUUGAAUUUAUUAUUUUUUGCAUUAUAUGAUUAGCCUAUUCUAGAUACCGAGGAAGUUGUCCACAGAGGGAAAAAAUUAUACCAAGAAGCAAGAGAGCCUGUUUUCUGACCCCCUCUCAGUCACUUGGUAAUUAUUAUUCCUCAAUCUUCACAUCUGAGGAUAUAACUAUUUUACCUGACUGAAGACAGAAGGGGUAUACCAGAUGGUUUCACCAAGAUCCAUCAAAUUCUAGUCAAAGAUUCUUCCAUUUUAAUUAAGCCCAUUGCUUCCUGUUUGAUCUUCUAAGGGCAGAGAAUAACAAUGUAAGCUCUGACCAUUUAAAAAAAUCAUCAUUCCUGCUCUAAUCAUCUCAAACCAUUCAUUCACUGGUCAUCCCGGGAAGGUCAACAGCAAUCUCCGAAGAGUCUGGUACCACGUCCUCCUCACAAGUCACUGCUAUAAGACUGACACUUAUCAAAAUGUCUGCCCAUCUCCACAGAGACGCUCCUAAUGUGCCUUGUUUCUGCUUUAUGACAAUGACCUUGGUUACAGCCAGUUGGUCCAGGAAUAGGCACCUGACCCAGUCUGGGCCAAUCUGGCCCCCUCUCUUGGGAAUGGUGACCAAAAGAGUCUGUCUCAGCAGAAACUGGAAAUGUAACAUAAACAGUCAUAAGCCAGGGGCCUGCUGGCAGUGCCAUGGGGGCUAAAGAACAGAAAAGGCUAGUCUACAAAGAAAGAAGAGAAUGAAAUUGAUGUCCAAGAAAACUGGAUUCAAGACACCAGAGAGAAAAUGAGCCAACCCAUUCACACUUCCAGGCCCUUUCUGAGGCAUGACAAUGUGGCAGAAUGUAUUUUCCAAUAUUUUCCAUCCCAUACGCUCUUCCAGAACCUUGCCACUGCAUCAAAAGAUGGUGUCUAUAUCCCUUCCGCCUGAAACGGUGAGCCUUUGUGACUGCUCACACUUCUAGGAUGUGGCAGAAGUGACGCUGUGUGAUUGCUGAGGCUAGAUCAUAAAAGGCAACACAGCUUGCACACAGCUCUAUCUCUUUGGACACUCAUCCUUGGAAUGGCAGCCACCAUGCUCUGAGGAAGCACAGGUCACAUGGAGCGCCCCACUUGGAGACAAAUGGAGGCCCCCCAGCCCUCAGUGCUGGCUGAGCAACCAGCAGACAGCCAGCACCAACCUGCCACCAGGAGUGAGAGGAGGAAAAGGAAAUUAAGGCUCUCUUUCUAAUCUGCAGCCCACCACAUGCGUUCAGGUACUCAGAAGGCUGGAAACUUUUCAAAGAAGAAGAGGGUGAGUUUCUCUGACCAUAUUAGCCAUGAGCAGCCACAGUGAAAGAAUUAAUGAAUUAGUUGCCUUUGCUUAUCUUUGCCCUGGACUUCAGACCUCCUUCAGGAGCAAUGGAGGGAUCCAAAAGCCAACACUGGAAGAUGUGGAUGGUGCUUCCAGCUCAAGGACGUGGCCUCCAGCAAGUCCCUGAACAUCUUUA